GCUCGGCGUUGGGGACAAAAUUCUUGAACGCGAAACAGAAGGUUAAGGCCCGAGGGGAGGAGCUACAAGCGGAAGUGGCGAAGGAUGCCCAGAACCACCUGACAGAUUAGUGGGAUUCGCCGGUGUCGCGUUUGCGAGCAAACCCGAAUGUUAACACCUCCGCAGUCCAGUCUAUGUUCUACGACAAGACCAGGAAACAGAAGCAUCAGAGAUGCCCAGCUAAACUGAGGUGGACACACAAAAUAAACUCAGCUCUUUUCUCUUCACAGGUGAAAACUGCCAUUUGCCUAUAAAGAGAAGUGUUUAAAAUGGGGGUUUUUUGUAUUAAAUUCUUUUAUUGGUACAUUGUAGGUAUACAACACAAUUACAUUUCUCGUUGGGAAUUGUACCUUU